AUAAAAGUGAAGCUCCACCUGCAGAGAAUUAAACAGUUUUAAAUAAAACUUCAUGUCACAUGCAGAAUGAUAAAUGGUGUGUUUGCUCUUUUAUUAGGUGCUUUCUCUGAACCUGUAAGGGUCACAGUUAAAGGUUUCGUUGGAGAGUCGGCUGUCUUUCCUUGUUCCAUCCCUGAUAGUGAAAUUCAAGGCAAAAUAGAAAAAUUCAAUGUACAUUGGAGAGACAAUGAAGACAAGCUUGUGUGUGACAUUAUUGCAAGCAACAGAAUAUGCACGGAUCAAGAUCCAAAGUACAAGUUCAGAGUCAAAACGUUCCCAGAGGAGUAUAAGAAGGGCAACUUCUCCAUCAAACUCAGCAGUCUUCAAAAAACUGAUGCAAGGAAGUACAUUUGUCACAUCACAGGACCAUCUCAGAAUCACACCAUCACAGAGCUUCAUGUUGAAGAUAGAGCAGGAGGAAGAGGCAACCACGGAAGACUAAAGAUUGAUGGAGAACUACAAUCAAUUGUCUUUUUUUUAGUCCGAUUUUUCUUAGCUGGCAUACUGAAUUUAAUGUUUGUAGCAAUCAGUUUUGGCAUAGUAAGGGUUUUAUUCAGUUACUAGGAAGUACAACUGUUACAUCACAGGACCAUCUCAGAAUCACACCAUCACAGAGCUUCAUGUUGAAGGUGUGUAUAAUCUGAGUUUCAUUGACAAAAUUGUUAGUGAUUGAUCAAACUAAUGUUACUAAGUUUGUCUUUGUUGUUUUGUAACAGAUAGAGCAGGAGGAAGAGGCAACCACGGAAGACUAAAGAUUGAUGGAGAACUACAAUCAAUUGUCUUUUUUUUAGUCCGAUUUUUCUUAGCUGGCAUACUGAAUUUAAUGUUUGUAGCAAUCAGUUUUGGCAUAGUAAGGGUUUUAUUCAGUUACUAGGGUAGAAUGAAAGUAUUUUUUACUCCGUUUAAAAAAUAAUAAAUAAAUAAAUAAAAUUCUUUGGUAUUUCAACCUGAACAUUUCAGACAUGAAGAACCCAAGCACAGUAUAAUAUUAGGAAACUUGACUUUACUAGAUGAUUAAAAUGGUCAGGAAAUAUAAACCAUCACAUGCAAUGACAAAUUAAACAUAAUAGCUGCAUAUACACAAGUUACCUAAAAGAGACUUUUAACAUACAUGAACAUCAAAAUAAAAGUCUGAGUAUUUAAAUUCAUAAAAACUAAACAAAUUGUUACAACAAUUGUCCUUGAAUCCAUUUUAGGAAAUAAUAAUAAUAAUUUUUACAAUCUCUAUCCAAACAACAUUUGUAAAAACUAAAUCUAAAUUUACUAAAACAACUUAAAACAGCACAAAACGACCCACUCAUUUCAUCACAAUUUUCAGACAAAUAAGUGUUAAAUAAGGGUGAUAUACUGCCACCCUUCACAAGGCUUUACACAAGUAUUUUUGAUUUAGUUUUUUUUGCCUCCUGUAUUCACUCAUCUUUCAGUUGAAAACUUGUGUGACUGACCACUGUUACCAAAACCC
rnacentral:lncRNA from 1 species